GACGUAGGGGUCCGAGCGUUUGUCCGGAGUUACUGGGCGUAAAGGGCGCGUAGGCGGCUUCUUGCGUCCCACGUGAAAGCCCCCUGGCUCAACCAGGGAGGGUCGUGGGGAAACGGGGGGAGCUGGAGGCAGCGAGAGGCUGGUGGAAUUCCCGGAGUAGUGGUGAAAUGCGUAGAGAUCGGGAGGAACACCGGGUGGCGAAGGCGGCCAGCUGGCGCUGACCUGACGCUGAGGCGCGAAGGCGUGGGGGAGCGAACGGGG
rnacentral:rRNA from 1 species